rnacentral:rRNA from 1 species
UACGGGAGGCAGCAGUGGGGAAUAUUGCACAAUGGGCGCAAGCCUGAUGCAGCCAUGCCGCGUGUAUGAAGAAGGCCUUCGGGUUGUAAAGUACUUUCAGCAGUGAGGAAGGCGGGUACGUUAAUAGCGUGCUUGUUUGACGUUAGCUGCAGAAGAAGCACCGGCUAACUCCGUGCCAGCAGCCGCGGUAAUACGGAGGGUGCGAGCGUUAAUCGGAAUUACUGGGCGUAAAGCGCAUGCAGGUGGUUUGUUAAGUCAGAUGUGAAAGCCCGGGGCUCAACCUCGGAAUUGCAUUUGAAACUGGCAGACUAGAGUACUGUAGAGGGGGUAGAAUUUCAGGUGUAGCGGUGAAAAUGCGUAGAGAUCUGAAGGAAUACCGGUGGCGAAGGCGGCCCCCUGGACAGAUACUGACACUCAGAUGCGAAAGCGUGGGGAGCAAACAGGAUUAGAUACCCUGGUAG